rnacentral:rRNA from 1 species
CUGUCGUCAGCUCGUGUCGUGAGAUGUUGGGUUAAGUCCCGUAACGAGCGCAACCCUUAUCCUUAGUUGCCAGCAUGUGAUGGUGGGGACUCUAAGGAGACUGCCGGUGACAAACCGGAGGAAGGCGGGGAUGACGUCAAGUCAUCAUGGCCCUUACGGGUAGGGCUACACACGUGCUACAAUGGCCGAUACAGAGGGCGGCGAAGGGGCGACCUGGAGCAAAUCCUUAAAAGUCGGUCGUAGUCCGGAUUGGAGUCUGCAACUCGACUCCAUGAAGUCGGAAUCGCUAGUAAUCGCGAAUCAGCAUGUCGCGGUGAAUACGUUCCCGGGCCUUGUACACACCGCCCGUCACACCAUGGGAGUGGGUUGCACCAGAAGUAGAUAGUCUAACCUUCGGGGGGACGUUUACCACGGUGUGGUUCAUGACUGGGGUGAAGUCGUAACAAGGUAGCCGUAGGGGAACCUGCGGCUGGAUCACCUCCUUAC